UACAGAGGUCUCAAGCGUUGUUCGGAUUCAUUGGGCGUAAAGGGUGCGUAGGUGGCGCGCUAAGUCAGGUGUGAAAUUUCGGAGCUUAACUCCGAAACUGCAUUCGAUACUGCCGUGCUCGAGGACUGGAGAGGAGACUGGAAUUUACGGUGUAGCGGUGAAAUGCGUAGAUAUCGUAAGGAAGACCAGUGGCGAAGGCGGGUCUCUGGACAGUUCCUGACGCUGAGGCACGAAGGUCAGGGGAGCAAACGGG
rnacentral:rRNA from 1 species